AGGUGUAGCUCAGUGGCCUCGUGUUUCCAUUCCCGUGGAUGGGGUGAGCUCCCCUGCCAGACGACAUCUCCCUCCCGUGCAAGCCCCAUGACACUGCUGUGACCGGAGGGUGGUUGACGCGUCCAAGGGACCCAGCUGCUUCUUGCAGAGCAGGAGCAUGAGACACCCGAACGACAUCUCCCAGCAACUCUAGAAGCUGCUAUUGAUUGCAGCACGUGCUAACCCAGCUGGGUGCGAAGGCAGAGGGAGGGAAGCAGAUGCGUGCUGCCAUAAACCAGAGCAUCGGCAGGAGCAGCAGACUGAGGAGUAGCUGAGGAAGGCUUUAACCCUGCCAGAUCUAGGACAAGAGACCCCUG
rnacentral:lncRNA from 1 species